UGGGGAAUAUUGGACAAUGGGCGCAAGCCUGAUCCAGCCAUGCCGCGUGUGUGAAGAAGGCCUUAUGGUUGUAAAGCACUUUAAGCGAGGAGGAGGCUACUUUAGUUAAUACCUAGAGAUAGUGGACGUUACUCGCAGAAUAAGCACCGGCUAACUCUGUGCCAGCAGCCGCGGUAAUACAGAGGGUGCAAGCGUUAAUCGGAUUUACUGGGCGUAAAGCGCGCGUAGGCGGCUAAUUAAGUCAAAUGUGAAAUCCCCGAGCUUAACUUGGGAGUUGCAUUCGAUACUGGUUAGCUAGAGUGUGGGAGAGGAUGGUAGAAUUCCAGGUGUAGCGGUGAAAUGCGUAGAGAUCUGGAGGAAUACCGAUGGCGAAGGCAGCCAUCUGGCCUAACACUGACGCUGAGGUGCGAAAGCAUGGGGAGCAAACAGGAUUAGAUACCCUGGUAGUCCAUGCCGUAAACGAUGUCUACUAGCCGUUGGGGCCUUUGAGGCUUUAGUGGCGCAGC
rnacentral:rRNA from 1 species